GGUUUGCCCAGGAAAGAAUGGUACUGGGCAUAAGAAACGAUAGGUAUCCAUAACAGAGUCAGAUCAAUGUAUGUUUGGAAAUCUCCUUAACUCCUUAGGACUUUAUUUUUGUUGUUGCUGUUCUCUAGAGUGAAGCAGAUAAGCUUUGCUCUUCGGGAGGGUAGUGAUGUUGGCUAACACUCAUUGAGCAUUUACUCUGGGCUUAUACUAGGUACUUAUGUGGUCUCACUGAGGAAACCAACGCUUGGAGAAGUUAGGUAGAUUGCCCAGAGUUACAUGAUGAAGCAGGUACAGGGCCUGGAUGGGAACCCAGGUCUGUCUAACUGGAGGACGUUGGCAGACCGCUAUACCAGGAGACUCCCCUGCCUCCCACUCAAGAGGAGAUAAGUUAUCAAAUAGGCUGAGCAGAGAGCCUGAUAUACUUACAAACUUCAAAAGAAACAAACUUGAAAAUGGUGAACGCUGGACCCAGAGGCCUUUCCCGGAGUGGAACCCCGUGGUCGGAUAAUAGCUGGAGCAAUCCUUGAACAACUUGGUUGCCAUCCAAGUCUGUUUUCAGUCGAGAAUAAAGUUCAUGUUUUGGAG